rnacentral:rRNA from 1 species
AUUGAACGCUGGCGGCAGGCCUAACACAUGCAAGUCGAGCGAGCGGCGGACGGGUGAGUAAUGUCUGGGAAACUGCCUGAUGGAGGGGGAUAACUACUGGAAACGGUAGCUAAUACCGCAUACCAUCAGAUGUGUCCAGCUGGGAUUAGCUAGUAGGUGGGGUAACGGCUCACCUAGGCGACGAGCCCUAGCUGGUCUGAGAGGAUGACCAGCCACACUGGAACUGAGACACGGUCCAGAUUCCUACGUGAGGCAGCAGUGGGGAAUAUUGCACAAGGGGCGCAAGCCUGAUGCAGCAAGGCCGCGUGUGUGAAGAAGGCCUGUGGGGUGUAAAGCCCUUUCAGCGGGGAGGCGUUACCCGCAGAAGAAGCACCGGCUAACUACGUGCCAGCAGCCGCGGUAAUUC